UACAGAGGUCUCAAGCGUUGUUCGGAAUCACUGGGCGUAAAGGGUGCGUAGGCUGCACGGUAAGUCAGGUGUGAAAGCCCGGGGCUCAACUCCGGAAUUGCACCCGAUACUGCCGUGCUUGAGGACUGGAGAGGAGUCUGGAAUUCACAGUGGAGCAGUGAAAUGCGUAGAUAUUGUGAGGAACACUAGUGGCGAAGGCGAGACUCUGGACAGUUCCUGACGCUGAGGCACGAAGGCCAGGGGAGCAAACGGG
rnacentral:rRNA from 1 species